CUUGGCCAUUACCUGCAGCUGGUGAGCUCCAAAAAGAGCGGUGCCAUUUAGGUCAUGUCAUUCUGGCCUAUAUGUUU
rnacentral:hammerhead_ribozyme from 2 species